GAUAGAUGACAUAUUAGGUUUGUUCUUUGUAACUGUAUUGGAAAUAUUACGAACUAGACCAGUGCAUACCAAUUAAAGAAUGUAUCGAGUUAGUCCUAUCGGAUACAAAGAAAGAUAUAAUGUCGAUUGUUGUAUUUGAUGUUAUUUGAUGUGAUUCAAGCUUUGUACAGUAUUGGUAAUAAUGGAAAACAUUUUUGUACUUUUUGGAACAGCGAUCUAGCGCCGGUUCUACUACGAAGAACGCUUUAGCGAACACUUCCUGAACUAGUUCUGCCAGUGCAGCUACCAAGAUCAAACCUAUAAACAACGUGCACUAGCCGUAAAUAUAAUCGUGUGUUAAAUCUUUGUGUAAAUAUCAAAACUAUUAUUUAAUUAAUAAGAUUCAAUUGUCAUGAUGUACCGAAAAGUGGAGAUGAGACGCCCAAUAAGGACGACGAACAUCCUGUUACAAUAGGAGGGAAUACGACGACGAGGAAGCCUUAGGGUCCCGCAAGUACCUACACGGUGGACGAGAAAAAUAAAUCGAAGUUUUCUGUAAUAAAAACUUGUAAUUCGAUAUCUAUUUAAUCAAUAAUAAUUCACUACUAUCCAA